rnacentral:rRNA from 1 species
UACGGAGGGGGCUAGCGUUGUUCGGAAUUACUGGGCGUAAAGGGUGCGUAGGCGGGUCUUUAAGUCAGGGGGGAAAUCCUGGAGCUCAACUCCAGAACUGCCUUUGAUACUGAAGAUCUUGAGUUCGGGAGAGGUGAGUGGAACUGCGAGUGUAGAGGUGAAAUUCGUAGAUAUUCGCAAGAACACCAGUGGCGAAGGCGGCUCACUGGCCCGAUACUGACGCUGAUGCACGAAAGCGUGGGGAGCAAACAGG